GUAUCAAAAUCACCAACUUCGAGAAUUAAAACCAACUUAUCAAUGAGAAUUUGAAUCUAUAUCAACUUUUCUAUUCUUUUAAUUUGUGCAUUUUUUCCACGGUUCAAUGGGCAAAUGGUGGCAGCCACUAAGUAAUUUGUUAAUUUGUUUUUCCAACAAAUUUCAGGUCCAACAUUAAGAGUUUUUCACCAACAAGGGCCAACCAAUAUAUUUUCACCAUCGCCGGCCCAAAAUCUUCUUUCAUUAACCACUAAAACAUGCAGUGAAGCUGAGUUCUUUAUUUUUUCUCUUUUUCCUUAGUUCUUUUUUUAUUUUUUAUUUUAUUUUUUUUAUAUAUAAU
rnacentral:lncRNA from 1 species